CGAGGAGGAAGUAAACUCCGGUCUGCUGGGCCACAGAUAGACUGAUAGAUUGUGGCAAACUUGGGGAGCAGGCUUUGUUCUCCAGUGUGAACCUCACCUCACAUAACAAUUGCAGGACAAUCAUGGCUUCUCAAAACUCCCACGGAAAAAAAAGAAGCUCACUCUGUUUCAAGGACUCAAGAGGAAACCGGACGUGGUGGCUCACGCCUGUAAUCCCGGCACUGGGGAGGCUGAGGCAGGAGGAUCGUUGCGAGUUCGAGACCAGCCUGGGCUGCAAAGUGAGCUCAAGGACACUCUGAACUGCAUAGCGAGACCCCCAUCUCAAAAAAAGGAAAAAAAAAAAAAAACAUGCAUGAGUAAAUGCGGACCUUAGGCUCACCCCGAAACCCUUGCUAGCAGGCAUUCGGAUGGCGAAACUUUCCAAUCUAAUUUCCGGAAAACUCAGCUAUGUUCCAAACUAGAGCCUCUUUAUGUAUGCUAUGGAUUUUUCAUUCUAAUGGACCAGAACCCACGUGAAGCAGGUGCACACACUGCUCUGGAGAGCAGCUUUAUUAUCAGGGAAGCUGGCUGCUUGGGGACCGAAACAGCCGCCCUUGGCCUGGGGAAAGGUGCCGUCCUUUCUUAAUGACUGGGUGUCCUCUUCCCGAAAAGAGAUCUCUCCUGUUCUCAGAAGGUUUCAUGGUCAUGUCCUGUGAAGGAAAUAGUCCCCUGUGAGAAGUGAACAGGAUGACUGAAGGACAGCACAGGACCAAGAGGAACAGAGGGCGACCUGGCGUUUGCACAGCUCAGGAUUCGGGAAGGCGGCAGCAGGCUUAAUGGGAGAAGAGGAAGAGGAUGGCAUGCAUGGAGAGGGCACAAGAUGGUAAAAUUACUCAAAGUGCUCCUCGAUUAAAACAAGAUAUUCUUCAAGAUGCACUUGAAAGCAGUUGUGAUGUCCUGCUGUUAUUUGGAAUGACUUGCAAUUUUUUCUUUUUUCUACCAAAUUCAAAGAGGAGACAGGUGAGGGGAAGGGCUGAAAUCCCAGCACUUGGGAGGCUAAGAAGUAUUUCUUUGAUUUCAAGGCAAGUUUGAGCUGUACAGUGAAUUGAACGAUAGCAUGCACUGUGCACCCAAACCCUGCAUCCAGAAAUUUUAAAAUGGCAAAAAUAACAAGUAACAGACAAAUGGUAAAAUCUCUUCCUCCAAUGCUGUAUUUUUCUGUUUUUGUCUUUUCAUUUCUUUUCUUUCUUUGACAUCCAAAAUCUUUUCACAUCCAAAUAUGAAUAGGGAUGUCACAGACCCUGGGUGCACUCACACCCAGCUCACGCGAUGUCUUGCGUGCCUAGUAAGACAUCUUUGCUCACAGAUCCACUUUAUCUUCAUUGACAGGACCCUCCAGCUGACUCCAUCAGUGGGCAGCUACACCUUCACUAUGCAUGUGCUUUCCUAUUCAAUACGAAUCUUGGUGUCUACAGAAGUACAGAAACAAUAAUAAACAUCACAGUGUUACGGAAA